ACUCCAGGCGUCGAGCGGCGGACGGGUGAGUAACGCGUGAGAAUCUGCCCAUUAGUGGGGGAUAACCCGGGGAAACUCGGGCUAAUACCGCAUACGUCCUACGGGGCAAAGCAGGGGACCUUCGGGCCUUGCGCUGAUGGAUGAGCUCGCGUCGGAUUAGCUUGUUGGUGAGGUAAAGGCUCACCAAGGCGACGAUCCGUAGCUGGUCUGAGAGGAUGAUCAGCCACACCGGGACUGAGACACGGCCCGGACUCCUACGGGAGGCAGCAGUGGGGAAUCUUGGACAAUGGGGGCAACCCUGAUCCAGCCAUGCCGCGUGUGUGAAGAAGGCCUUCGGGUUGUAAAGCACUUUCAGCAGGGAGGAAGGCUUUGGGCUAAUACCCUGGAGUACUUGACGUUACCUGCAGAAGAAGCACCGGCUAAUUUCGUGCCAGCAGCCGCGGUAAUACGAAAGGUGCAAGCGUUAAUCGGAAUUACUGGGCGUAAAGCGCGCGUAGGCGGUGUGUUAAGUCGGAUGUGAAAGCCCAGGGCUCAACCUUGGAAUUGCAUCCGAUACUGGCACGCUAGAGUGCAGUAGAGGGAGGUGGAAUUUCCGGUG
rnacentral:rRNA from 1 species